GAUGAACGCUAGCGGCAGGCUUAACACAUGCAAGUCGAGGGGUAGGGAAAGCUUGCUUUUCUGAGACCGGCGCACGGGUGCGUAACGCGUAUGCAAUCUACCUUUCACAGAGGGAUAGCCCAGAGAAAUUUGGAUUAAUACCUCAUAGUAUUAUAGAAUGGCAUCAUUUUAUAAUUAAAGAUUUAUCGGUGAAAGAUGAGCAUGCGUCCCAUUAGCUAGUUGGUAUGGUAACGGCAUACCAAGGCAACGAUGGGUAGGGGUCCUGAGAGGGAGAUCCCCCACACUGGUACUGAGACACGGACCAGACUCCUACGGGAGGCAGCAGUGAGGAAUAUUGGACAAUGGGCGCAAGCCUGAUCCAGCCAUGCCGCGUGCAGGAUGACGGUCCUAUGGAUUGUAAACUGCUUUUAUACAGGAAGAAACACCUCUACGUGUAGAGACUUGACGGUACUGUAAGAAUAAGGAUCGGCUAACUCCGUGCCAGCAGCCGCGGUAAUACGGAGGAUCCAAGCGUUAUCCGGAAUCAUUGGGUUUAAAGGGUCCGUAGGCGGUCAGGUAAGUCAGUGGUGAAAGCCCAUCGCUCAACGGUGGAACGGCCAUUGAUACUGUCUGACUUGAAUUAUUAGGAAGUAACUAGAAUAUGUAGUGUAGCGGUGAAAUGCUUAGAGAUUACAUGGAAUACCAAUUGCGAAGGCAGGUUACUACUAAUUGAUUGACGCUGAUGGACGAAAGCGUGGGUAGCGAACAGGAUUAGAUACCCUGGUAGUCCACGCCGUAAACGAUGGAUACUAGCUGUUGGGAGCAAUCUCAGUGGCUAAGCGAAAGUGAUAAGUAUCCCACCUGGGGAGUACGAACGCAAGUUUGAAACUCAAAGGAAUUGACGGGGGCCCGCACAAGCGGUGGAGCAUGUGGUUUAAUUCGAUGAUACGCGAGGAACCUUACCAAGGCUUAAAUGUAGAUUGACCGGUUGGAAACAG
rnacentral:rRNA from 1 species